CGUAACGCGUAUGCAACCUACCUUAAUCAGGGGGAUAGCCCGAAGAAAUUCGGAUUAACACCGCAUAAAAUCACAGUAUAGCAUUAUACAAUGAUCAAAUAUUUAUAGGAUUAAGAUGGGCAUGCGUGACAUUAGUUAGUUGGCGGGGUAACGGCCCACCAAGACCACGAUGUCUAGGGGAUCUGAGAGGAUGACCCCCCACACUGGUACUGAGACACGGACCAG
rnacentral:rRNA from 1 species